rnacentral:lncRNA from 1 species
CGCCGUUGAAUAAUUUAUUGGAAGUUAAUAAAAGUAAUCAAAUCAUGUUUUUAACAAAUAAAAAAUGUCCUUUUUUACAUAUGUCUACUUCAAUUAGACAAAUCAUCGUAGGUCUGUCUGCAUGUACAUUUCUUCAUACAUGUAUAUUUCUUCGUCUGCUUUGAAAAUACAUUAUAUAUUCAACCGUUCCUUUCAUUUUGAUACAUAGAAACACCAAAUUACAGCUUAUCAACAGUGAAAAUGGUCUUCGCCAUAUUUGAACACGCCGGGUGGUCAGAUGAGACAUCUUUUUUCAAAUGAAUGAACUACCUGAGCGACUACAUAUUUAUAUCAAAUAAGCCUCCGCCAAAAAAAAUAGUACCACAAAAGAAAAUGCA